rnacentral:rRNA from 1 species
AUUGAACGCUGGCGGCAGGCCUAACACAUGCAAGUCGAGCGGAUGAAGCGAGCUUGCUCCUGGAUUCAGCGGCGGACGGGUGAGUAAUGCCUAGGAAUCUGCCUGGUAGUGGGGGAUAACGUCCGGAAACGGGCGCUAAUACCGCAUACGUCCUGAGGGAGAAAGUGGGGGAUCUUCGGACCUCACGCUAUCAUAUGAGCCUAGGUCGGAUUAGCUAGUUGGUGGGGUAACGGCCUACCAAGGCGACGAUCCGUAACUGGUCUGAGAGGAUGAUCAGUCACCCUGGCACAGAGAAACGGUCCAGACUCCUAGGGGAGGACGCAGUGGGGAAUAUUGGACAAUGGGGGAAAGCCUGAUCCAGCCAUGCCGGGUGUGUGAAGAAGGUCUUCGGAUUGUAAAGCACUUUAAGUUGGGAGGAAGGGAAGUAAGUUAAUACCUUGCUGUUUUGACGUUACCAACAGAAUAAGCACCGGCUAACUUCGUG